UUCCUACGGGAGGCAGCAGUAGGGAAUUUUCGUCAAUGGGCGCAAGCCUGAACGAGCAAUGCCGCGUGAACGAGGAAGGUCUUCGGAUCGUAAGGUUCUGUUGAAGGGGAAAAAGAGCGGAGAGAGGAAAUGCUUUCUGAUUGAUAUUACCCUUCGAGGAAGUCACGGCUAACUACGUGCCAGCAGCCGCGGUAAUACGGAGGAUGCGAGCGUUAUCCGGAUUUAUUGGGUUUAAAGGGUGCGCAGGCGGUCUGUUAAGUCAGCGGUCAAAGCCCGGGGCUCAACCCCGGCCCGCCGUUGAAACU
rnacentral:rRNA from 1 species